UCUGCUGUCACUUUCAUGAUGACAAAACAUUUAAAAACUAUUUGAUCCAUUCAAAACAUCUUCGCAAAUCCAUUUGAUCUUCCUAUAAAUACCCUCUUCACGGCCUAAAUUUUCUCAAACAAACACAAAAACAAAGAAAAAACAAAGAAGAAGAAUGGGUCUUACACAAUUUAACAAAGUGACCUUUAUUGCUAUCCUCUUUUGCUUCAUCCUCAUUGCAUCAUAUGAGGUUGAAGCACAACACCAUGGGAGUGGCGGUGGCCGUGGGGGAGGCGGUGGCCGUGGCCAUGGCGGAUGUGUUUCACGCAACUCUUGGAAUGGAGGUUGCUCAGGGCACUGUGGCGGGUGGUGCAAGGGCAAGGGUGGCUACAAAUGGAACUGUCAACAACAAACAUGUUACUGUUCCCAUAAGUGUUAAAUGAAAAUAUUUGUAUGAUGCACUAUUUUCAUGCCACAAAAAUAGUGCAUCACACAAAUUUCAACCUAGCAUAUAUAUAAUAUGAAAUAAAUGUUGCAACAAAUGGCUCUAGUCAUUUUGUCACAGCAACAAAUGUUGUCCCAAUAAAUGGGGUGUAUUUUAAUUAAUGUGUGUUGUAUACUUGUAUGUUGAAUAUAUUACGUGUGUGGAGUGUUUGAGUA